rnacentral:miRNA from 1 species
CAAACUUGAUGGUGUUUAUGACGUCGAUAUUCGACGUCAUAAACAGCAAACUUGAUGGUUUUUAUGACGUCGAAUAUCGACGUCAUAAACAGCAAAC